UCAAGCCACAGUGAACUGAACACUGAACAGGUGUUUCCCUGCCCCCACCCUGCUGCCCUCUGGAUGCUGAGAGCAAGGUGGUAACUGGACACAGAAUUUGCUUCUGUGCUUUCCUGCAAGGAUACAUCCCUGCACUUUAGCAAUCCACUGCCUUCCUGUACUUUAUUAGCUCAACAUAUUCGAGAAGGAGGAAAAUCAUGAAAAACAACAACAACAACAACAAAACUAUUUCUCGUGUCCCCUCCCUCCACUUCUGAAGCCACUGCUGCAACUGCUGACUGAAGUGUCUGCGUGUAAAAUGUGCUCUGUCCUUUGGGAGAAAACAAAGGGUUAUUAAAAGAGCAGCCUCCUGCACUGCCAGCAGAGUGGCGAGGCUUGUCAGCGUCAACCCUUCCAACCUUCCUCAGCUGAAUUCUGCCAUCUUCCUCUUUGUCUUGACUGGGACAGUUUCAGUUGUCAUGGUGUAGACACACACAGUCCCCGUUCCCCUUGUUAAGCAUGCCGAACUCUAAGCAAGCCUGGCGCAUGCUCUCUGCCUGGAUGUCUACGAGUGAGUUCCUGGGUCAGAGAUAAUGUGUGGAACAUCGACAUGUCUACCUUCAGGUUCCUACUUUGAGUUCCUGCUUUGAGUCCCCACAACGAUGGACCAUCAACUAUACGAUGAAAUGUCCCCUAAAUUGC